GUAUCAUCAUAAUAUAGAGAAAGAAAAGCCAAAGAUCGUAAUUGUAUUUCUUUGAUAUUGCUUGAUAUUUCCGUAUUACAAUGAUACUCAAUUUAUAGGUUUAAGAAUGAUCAAAGUCAUGCAAAUCCCUAUAAUUAAGGCUGGAGUAUGAGGUGGAUUGGAUGGGGUGGGCGGCUAGCAUAGGGAAAGGAGAGGUGUAGGGAGAAGGGAAUAGGAGGGGAGGGGCUGUAGCUGUAGCAGCAAAUUCACACGCCCCUUAUCCCUUUUUUUUCCUCUUUGCUUUCUUUUUUUUUUUUUCUUUGUUGGGAGAUGGUGUUUUUGAAUUGUGGGCUAGGAACUUGUGUGAUCAUUGUAAUAGAUAGGUUGUAAAAAUUGUGGUGUAAUAGAUAGAAUCUUCCAGCGUUGGUCAUUUUGUAUAAAAAUGGUAACUUUGAUUCUGCUAUUUAAUCGUCUAUCUGUGUAUCCGUAUAUUCUAAUAAA